GUGGUCACAUAACUUUAAAACACCAGUUCUCGUAUGAUCAGUGAAGUUAAGCAACGUCGAACCUGGUUAGUACCUAGAUGGGUGACCGCUUGGGAAUACCAGAUACUA